UACGUAGGGUGCGAGCGUUGUCCGGAAUUAUUGGGCGUAAAGGGCUCGUAGGCGGUUUGUCGCGUCGGGAGUGAAAUCCACUGGCUUAACUGGUGGCUUGCUUUCGAUACGGGCAGACUGGAGGUAUGCAGGGGAGAACGGAAUUCCUGGUGUAGCGGUGAAAUGCGCAGAUAUCAGGAGGAACACCGAUGGCGAAGGCAGCUCGCUGGGACGGUACUGACGCUGAAGAGCGAAAGCUAGGGGAGCAAACGGG
rnacentral:rRNA from 1 species